UACGUAGGGGCCGAGCGUUGUCCGGAGUUAUUGGGCGUAAAGCGCGCGCAGGCGGAUAUGGGCGUCGGUGCUGAAAGACCACCGCUUAACGGUGGCUCGCGUGCCGAUACGCCAUAUCUGGAGGGCGGGCGAGGGCGGUGGAAUUGCCGGUGUAGUGGUGAAAUGCGUAGAUAUCGGAAGGAACAUCAGUGGCGAAAGCGGCUUCCUGGACCAGUACCGACGUUCAGGCACGAAAGCGUGGGGAGCAAACAGG
rnacentral:rRNA from 1 species